ACAGAAAACGUGUCUUGAAAGUUUCUUUUGAAAAAGAAAGCCUGAACCCGGUUGUCCUCAUCCUUUAUUUGUAGGAGCGUCAGAGCAUCAUCAAGUACUGGCUUGACAACCUGCGAGCUAAACAGGGAGAAGUUCUUCACAACAUUCACUUUCUGGAGGGACAACCCAUCAUUCCAGAGCUGGUGGCCCGUGGUGUGAUCCAUCAGAUGUUUCCUCUCCACGAGCAGAGGAUCCUUAAUCAGCUGAUGACGUCAUGGGUCCAGGCUGUUUGUGAAAGGCAACCUUUGGAUGAUAUCUGCGACUACUUUGGAGUGAAGAUCAGCAUGUACUUUGCCUGGCUUGGUUUCUACACCAACUCUAUGCUUUACCCUGCAGUCAUUGGCUUUCUCCUGUGGAUACUUGCAGAAGCUGAUCAGGUACCUUAAAGAAUUUCAUGUAGCAUGUGGUUGGCACAGCAACCUGACAGAAAGAAGGCUUGGUUCGGAAUGCAUGUUUGGGACGUCAAGUCCGGGCAUG